AUUGAACGCUGGCGGCAUGCCUAACACAUGCAAGUCGAACGAGUGGCGGACUGGUGAGUAAUGUCUGGGAAACUGCCUGAUGUAGGGGGCUAACUACUGUAAACGGUAGCUAAUACCGCAUACCAUAAGAUGUGCCCAGAUGGGAUUAGCUUGUUGGUGGGGUAACGGCUCACCAAGGCGACGAUCCCUAGCUGGUCUGAGAGGAUGACCAGCCACCCUGGAACUGAGACACGGUCCAGACUCCUACGGGAGGCAGCAGUGGGGAAUAUUGCACAAUGGGCGAAAGCCUGAGGCAGCCAUGCCGCGUGUAUGAAGAAGGCCUUCGGGUUGUAAAGCUCUUUCAGCGGGGAGGCGUUACCCAAACAAGAAGCACCGGCUAACUCCGUGCCAGCAGCCGCGGUAAUAC
rnacentral:rRNA from 1 species